UACGGGGGGGGCAAGCGUUGUUCGGAUUUACUGGGCGUAAAGGGCGCGUAGGCGGCCACCGCAAGUCGACUGUGAAAUCUCCGGGCUUAACUCGGAAAGGUCAGCCGAUACUGCGGGGCUAGAGUGCAGAAGGGGCAACUGGAAUUCUCGGUGUAGCGGUGAAAUGCGUAGAUAUCGAGAGGAACACCUGCGGCGAAGGCGGGUUGCUGGGCUGACACUGACGCUGAGGCGCGAAAGCUAGGGGAGCGAACGGG
rnacentral:rRNA from 1 species